rnacentral:rRNA from 1 species
CCUACGGGGGGCUGCAGUUGGGAAUCUUGGACAAUGGGGGAAACCCUGAUCCAGCCAUGCCGCGUGAGUGAUGAAGGCCUUCGGGUUGUAAAACUCUUUCGCGCACGACGCGGUAGUGCUAGAAGAAGCUCCGGCUAACUUCGUGCCAGCAGCCGCGGUAAUACGAAGGGGGCGAGCGUUGUUCGGAAUUACUGGGCGUAAAGCGCGCGCAGGCGGUCUACCAAGUCAGUGGUGAAAGCCCGGAGCUCAACUCCGGAACUGCCAUUGAAACUGUUAGACUUGAGGACGAGAGAGGUGAGUGGAAUUCCCAGUGUAGAGGUGAAAUUCGUAGAUAUUGGGAAGAACACCGGUGGCGAAGGCGGCUCACUGGCUCGUCUGACGCUCAGGCGCGACAGCGUGGGGAUCAAACAGGAUUAGAUACCCUGGUAGUC